GCUGGGCGCGGUGGUGCGCGCCUGUAAUCCCAGCUACUCGGGAGGCUGAGGCAGGAGAAUCACUUGAACCUGGGAGACAGAGGUUGCAGUGAGCCGAGAUCGUGCCAUUGCACUCCAGCCUGGGCAAUAGAGUGAGACUCCGUCUCAA
ensembl:misc_RNA Metazoa_SRP Metazoan signal recognition particle RNA